rnacentral:rRNA from 1 species
UACGUAGGGUGCAAGCGUUAAUCGGAAUUACUGGGCGUAAAGCGUGCGCAGGCGGUAAUGUAAGACAGAUGUGAAAUCCCCCGGGCUCAACCUGGGAACUGCAUUUGUGACUGCAUUGCUGGAGUGCGGCAGAGGGGGGGAUGGAAUUCCGCGUGUAGCAGUGAAAUGCGUAGAUAUGCGGAGGAACACCGAUGGCGAAGGCAAUCCCCUGGGCCUGCACUGACGCUCAGUGCACGAAAGCGUGGGGAG